UUUGUAUUUUGUAGGUUCUCGGGAGAAGAGUACGCCAAAUCAAGCAACUGAAACGAGGACUGAAAGACACUUGUGUUUGGCCUCGUCUAACUGAGAGGAAGGAUGUGGUAUUCUUUCCCAAGGAAUCGGAGGACUCAUGCACUCCUGAGAUGCUGCUUUCACACAUCUCCUGUCCUAGAGAGAGUGAUGACGAAGAUGAUGAAGAAUACUCAGCUGAUAUAAAGGAACGGAUCACAGGGUAUUUAAAGCAGUUCAUUGAGACAGCAUCCAGCAAGGACUUAAAAAACCUUCUGUAGUUCUGGGUCGGAUGGGAGCAGAUGGAGGAAAAUAUGGCUGUGGAAAUUGUGAAAAGUGAUCUCCCAAAAUCCUCUAGCUGCUUCUGUGUUCUCCGGCUCCCAGGGCACUACAACAGUUUCCAGUCCUUCACCAAGGACUUGAUGAUGUGCAUUGGCACUUGCAAGUAUGGUUUUGGCCAUGUGUAGUUUUUAUGUUACAUUUGUUACACAGUGAUACACACUUUUAUUAAAUGCUGUUACUGCACUUAGGACCAAUGCUUUGUUCAAACCCAGCUUACAGGUUUUUUUCUUUUUCAUUUUUGGGAUUGCUUUGUACAUGAUGCUUGUUGAUCAUGUUGCUAUUUUUUUGAUACUAUGCUAUAAGAUAUAGUACAUUAAGUAAUUGGUUAAUGUUCUGUACACGCAGUCACUUAUACGGUCAACUUGUAUCGUUCCACAAUGGUUUUCUUCAUGCAUGGGCUCAUGCAGUGCUAUAGACAUUGUUGUUCCAUAGCUUGUCGGAAUUUGCUAAAUACCAUUAAGUACUUUAUUCUUUUAAAGUAUUAGAAUUAAUGCAAAAUGUAUAUUUAAACAUGUUCAAUAAAAGUACAAAUAUUCAAAA